GACAGAGGAUGCAAGCGUUAUCCGGAAUGAUUGGGCGUAAAGCGUCUGUAGGUGGCUUUUAAGUCUGCCGUCAAAUCCCAGGGCUUAACCCUGGACAGGCGGUGGAAACUACCGAGCUGGAGUACGGUAGGGGCAGAGGGAAUUUCCGGUGGAGCGGUGAAAUGCGUAGAGAUCGGAAAGAACACCAACGGCGAAAGCACUCUGCUGGGCCGACACUGACACUGAGAGACGAAAGCUAGGGGAGCGAAUGGG
rnacentral:rRNA from 1 species